rnacentral:rRNA from 1 species
UACGGAGGGUGCAAGCGUUAUCCGGAUUUAUUGGGCUUAAAGGGUCCGUAGGCGGGCUCAUAAGUCAGUGGUGAAAUCCUGCAGCUCAACUGUAGAACUGCCAUUGAUACUGUGAGCCUUGAAUUUGGUUGAAGUGGGCGGAAUAUGACAUGUAGCGGUGAAAUGCUUAGAUAUGUCAUAGAACACCGAUUGCGAAGGCAGCUCACUAAGCCUGGAUUGACGCUGAUGGACGAAAGCGUGGGUAGCGAACAGG